rnacentral:rRNA from 1 species
UACGAACCGUCCAAACGUUAUUCGGAAUCACUGGGCUUAAAGAGUCUGUAGGCGGCUGAGAAAGUCGGGUGUGAAAUCCCACGGCUUAACCGUGGAACUGCGCCCUAAACUACUCAGCUUGAGGGAGCUAGAGGUAAGCGGAACUGAUGGUGGAGCGGUGAAAUGCGUUGAUAUCAUCAGGAACACCGGAGGCGAAGGCGGCUUACUGGGGCUUUUCUGACGCUGAGAGACGAAAGCUAGGGUAGCGAACGGG